rnacentral:rRNA from 1 species
UACGGGGGGGGUAAGCGUUGUUCGGAAUUACUGGGCGUAAAGGGCUCGUAGGCGGCCAACUAAGUCAGACGUGAAAUCCCCCAGCUUAACUGGGGAACUGCGUCUGAUACUGGAUGGCUUGGAUUCGGGAGAGGAAUGCGGAAUUCCAGGUGUAGCGGUGAAAUGCGUAGAUAUCUGGAGGAACACCGGUGGCGAAGGCGGCAUUCUGGACCGACAUUGACGCUGAGGAGCGAAAGCCAGGGGAGCAAACGGG